rnacentral:rRNA from 1 species
GACGAACGCUGGCGGCGUGCCUAAUACAUGCAAGUCGAGCGAAGUUUUUCUGGUGCUUGCACCGGAAAAACUUAGCGGCGAACGGGUGAGUAACACGUAAAGAACCUGCCUCAUAGACUGGGACAACUAUUGGAAACGAUAGCUAAUACCGGAUAAUAGCAUUAACUGCAUGGUUGAUGUUUAAAAGUUGGUUUUGCUAACACUAUGAGAUGGCUUUGCGGUGCAUUAGCUAGUUGGUGGGGUAAAGGCCUACCAAGGCGACGAUGCAUAGCCGACCUGAGAGGGUGAUCGGCCACACUGGGACUGAGACACGGCCCAGACUCCUACGGGAGGCAGCAGUAGGGAAUCUUCCGCAAUGGGCGAAAGCCUGACGGAGCAACGCCGCGUGAGUGAAGAAGGAUUUCGGUUCGUAAAGCUCUGUUGUUAGGGAAGAAUGAUUGUGUAGUAAAGAUACACAGUAGAGACGGUACCUAACCAGAAAGCCACGGCUAACUACGUG